rnacentral:piRNA from 1 species
GGGCAUACCCACAAUCCAGGUGAA